UACGUAGGGUGCAAGCGUUAAUCGGAAUUACUGGGCGUAAAGCGUGCGCAGGCGGUUGUGUAAGACAGAUGUGAAAUCCCCCGGGCUCAACCUGGGAACUGCAUUUGUGACUGCACGGCUGGAGUGCGGCAGAGGGGGAUGGAAUUCCGCGUGUAGCAGUGAAAUGCGUAGAUAUGCGGAGGAACACCGAUGGCGGAAGGCAAUCCCCUGGGCCUGCACUGACGCUCAGUGCACGAAAGCGUGGGGAGCGAAACAAGG
rnacentral:rRNA from 1 species